rnacentral:rRNA from 1 species
AGUGAACGCUGGCGGUAGGCCUAACACAUGCAAGUCGAACGGCAGCACAGUAAGAGCUUGCUCUUACGGGUGGCGAGUGGCGGACGGGUGAGGAAUACAUCGGAAUCUACUUUUUCGUGGGGGAUAGCGUAGGGAAACUUACGCUAAUACCGCAUACGACCUACGGGUGAAAGCAGGGGAUCUUCGGACCUUGCUCGAUUGAAUGAGCCGAUGUCGGAUUAGCUAGUUGGCGGGGUAAAGGCCCACCAAGGCGACGAUCCGUAGCUGGUCUGAGAGGAUGAUCAGCCACACUGGAACUGAGACACGGUCCAGACUCCUACGGGAGGCAGCAGUGGGGAAUAUUGGACAAUGGGCGCAAGCCUGAUCCAGCCAUACCGCGUGGGUGAAGAAGGCCUUCGGGUUGUAAAGCCCUUUUGUUGGGAAAGAAAAGCAGCAGGUUAAUACCCCGCUGUUCUGACGGUACCCAAAGAAUAAGCACCGGCUAACUUCGUG